UCUAAACGAUCAUUUAUAUAGACUUGAAGUAGAUGAUGAACAAUAUCGUAUGGAGGUUUACAGAAACUGUUCUAAUAAACCAAGAUGUAGUAUCAGACCACCAAUUAACAUCUCUAACAUAAUAUAUGAUUAUAUUUAUUAUCCUUAUACUUGUAUAUCAGCUUCGACAAUACAUAAUCUGGUGGAUAUAACCCAGACAUCUAUAAAUGAAGGAGAAUAUUUAUAUUUUACUGGUACAACAUCACCUACUACCCAGUGUUGUAAUAUAACCAGCCAGGAUCAACAACAGAUAGAGAUAGAGAUUGUAUAUGUUCAUCUGAGUCAGCAAUCUAACAACAGGAUCAAAAUAUCGACAAAUAAAAACUCUUUGGUCAACUUUAUCACUGCAGUACUGGAAGAUGGUGGGAGUAAAUAUAUUAAAUCUGAAAAUCUGAUUAACAUAGUUAUUGAUGAUUUAUUGGCUGAUUAUUAUGAUAUGAUCUGGAUGAAAUUAAAAUCAGAUUCAAACUUAUCUUGUGAUGGCUGCUCUAGUGCUAUUGGUAAAAAUAGUACAGAUACUGACGAAACAACCAUACCAAUUGAUAUCAACAACGACACUGGUAUUAAUAACAUUGAUAACAAUGUUAAUACGGGGUUACUAGUUGCUGUUAUUGUUAUGGCUGUAGUUAUAUUAGCAGCAUGCUUGAUCGGUGGUAUAUAUGUCAUCAGGAGGAAACGAAAACAUAAUGAAACGACACAGGCUAUUCAAGAUACAACCAAUACCGAUGAGACAUAUUCUGGCCUGGCGAAUAGAAACGAACCAGAGCACAAUUAUUCGGGUUUAGUGAUCAGCAACUGACUUCACGCUGGGAAUGAGACGCUUGUCAAUGAUUAGAUCAUCUCCUGUUUAGCCAUAAUUUUUAAACUGAUUGGUGAACUGCAUAGCGUAAAGAACAAAGCGGCAUGUCUUAUGAUCCAUAAGUUGGGUCAAAUCACACCAGAUUCACAGUUUAGUUUAGAAUUGACUUAAGGGUUUACUAUGUAUCAACACUUUAGCUCCAAUUAUAUGAACUUUUAUUAAUGUAUAUACCAAGUAGAAACUUUAGAUCAUCCGAUCAUAAAGUUCGUUUUACGCCAAAAUUAGAAACGCUCUUAAAUUUUGGUCAACGUUUUGUUACUGUCCAAUUCUCUCCUUAAUUCUAGGUUCCCAUUAUCACAAUUCGCGCUACGAUUAAAAUCGUGGUUAUAAUCGUUGAGCAAUCAUAGUGAUCCUAUUAGAUCUUAUCAAAUAUUGAGGUCAAUCGUAGCAAUCGUGUUGAUCUGCACGUACCAGAUCGUGGAUUUAAAGGACAAUAUUGGUGCCAGUCAUUAUCACAUAUGUGAUAGAACUGGUUAAACAUGUUCCAAAUAUUAUUUUAUCACAGAGAUCAUUGUUACGAUAGAUGCGUAAUCAAUCUUUAAACAAUCGGAAGUGACGAACGCAAAAGGAAAACACGAGAUAUCCCUCUAUAUAACUGACUAAUAAUUCCUUCGAAGACCAAAGGUUGU